CCUACGGGAGGCAGCAGUGAGGAAUAUUGGUCAAUGGACGAGAGUCUGAACCAGCCAAGUAGCGUGAAUGAUGACUGCCCUAUGGGUUGUAAACUUCUUUUAUAUGGGAAUAAAACGUUCCACGUGUGGGAUUUUGUAUGUACCAUAUGAAUAAGGAUCGGCUAACUCCGUGCCAGCAGCCGCGGUAAUACGGAGGAUCCGAGCGUUAUCCGGAUUUAUUGGGUUUAAAGGGAGCGUAGGUGGAUUGUUAAGUCAGUUGUGAAAGUUUGCGGCUCAACCGUAAAAUUGCAGUUGAAACUGGCAGUCUUGAGUACAGUAGAGGUGGGCGGAAUUCGUGGUGUAGCGGUGAAAUGCUUAGAUAUCACGAAGAACUCCGAUUGCGAAGGCAGUUCACUGGACUGCAACUGACACUGAGGCUCGAAAGUGUGGGUAUCAAACAGGAUUAGAUACCCGAGUAGUC
rnacentral:rRNA from 1 species